CCCUAUGGGGCGUUGGGGCCGUUUUGGUUUCAGUUUAUGUUUCUUCAAGUUCCUUCAACUGCGCCACGUAGCCAACAAUUAGAGACUUGUGCAUCCGGGAGGCAGGCUGGCUCAGCGCUCUCAGUCUUCUGAGCCCUUCUCAGAACAGAAGCAAUUGAUGCAGCAAAGCGCACGGGUGGGUAUGAGAACCAAAGUUAGUUCGGUAUGCAUUUGGUGCUAAAGUGAAAAUAUUAAUUCCUUUGUGUGUCCUUGAGAGAGAAUACCUCAUCUGCCAGGCCGGUCUGUACCUCCUAAAACACAUAUGCAGAAUGUGGUGACAGUGCCCCUCUGACACCCCAGGUUUGGGCCUUGUGAAGCCACAGCUGUAGCCCCUGCUGUCUUGGAACUCAGCUGCCAUGCUGUAAGGGAGUGGGGAUAGCUUUCCAGAGGAAAAGACCCCAUGGAGAGAACAAUAAAAACUAUAUCUAGAAUUGACUCUUCUUUAAAAUAAAGAACUACAUAGUUCCC